rnacentral:tRNA from 2 species
UCCCAUAUGGUCUAGUAGUUAGGAUUCCUGGUUUUCACCCAGGUGGCCUGCGUUCAACUCCUGGUGUGGUAA